rnacentral:rRNA from 1 species
UGGGGAAUUUUGCACAAUGGGGGAAACCCUGAUGCAGCGACGCCGCGUGAUUUAGAAGGCCUUCGGGUUGUAAAAAUCUUUUUUACGGGAUGAAAAUGACAGUACCGUAAGAAUAAGGUCCGGCUAAAUACGUGCCAGCAGCCGCGGUAAUACGUAUGGACCGAGCGUUGUCCGGAAUCAUUGGGCGUAAAGGGUACGUAGGCGGCCUAGUAAGUUAGAAGUGAAAUAAUAUAGCUCAACUAUAUAAAGCUUUUAAAACUGCUAGGCUUAGAAGAUGGAAGGGAAAGUGGAAUUCCUUGUGGAGCGGUGAAAUGCGCAGAUAUUAGGAAGAAUACCGGUGGCGAAGGGGACUUUCUGGUCAUCAUCUGACGCUGAGGUACGAAAGCGUGGGUAGCAAACAGG